AUUGAACGCUGGCGGCAGGCCUAACACAUGCAAGUCGAACGAGUGGCGGACGGGUGAGUAAUGUCUGGGAAACUGCCUGAUGGAGGGGGAUAACUACUGGAAACGGUAGCUAAUACCGCAUACCCUCGGAUGUGCCCAGAUGGGAUUAGCUAGUAGGUGGGGUAAAGGCUCACCUAGGCGACGAUCCCUAGCUGGUCUGAGAGGAUGACCAGCCACACUGGAACUGAGACACGGUCCGGACUCCGACGGUAGGCAGCAGUGGGGAAUAUUGCACUAUGAGCGCAAGCCUGAUGCAGCCAUGCCGCGAGUAGGAAGAAGUCCUUCGGGUUGUAAAGUACUUUCAGCGGGGAGGCGUUACCCGCAGAAGAAGCACCGGCUAACUCCGUGCCAGCCGCCGCGGUAAUUC
rnacentral:rRNA from 1 species